AGACGGAGGGCGCAAGCGUUGUUCGGAAUCACUGGGCAUAAAGAGUACGUAGGCGGUCUGCUAAGUCAGAUGUGAAAGCCCUGGGCUUAACCCGGGAACUGCAUUUGAUACUGGCAGACUUGAGGACAGCAGGGGUGAGUGGAACUUCAGGUGGAACGGUGAAAUGUGUAGAUAUCUGAAGGAACACCGGUGGCGAAAGCGGCUCACUGGGCUGUCUCUGACGCUGAGGUACGAAAGCUAGGGUAGCGAACGGGAUUAGAAACACCGUAGUCC
rnacentral:rRNA from 1 species